CAAUUAAGGAAUGGACAGGGGUAUCCACAGUCCCGAGGAUGCUGGGACGCUUGAGACGCGAGAAUAAAGGACGCGAAGUGUAAUGGCGGCCCGAAGGAAGACGGUUGAAAUGCAUCACGGCGGUUGGACGAACUAAUGGCGCUGGAUGGAUGAGUUCAAAUUUCAACGGACAACGGACGCUUCCAAGUACGUGUUGUAGAACAGAAGAUUAUGGGCAGAGUUUUUUUGAUGAUUUCGUUGCACUGCAUAAAUGAUUGGGCGUUUUCUCAACAUUUGGAGGGACGAGAGUUAUUGGGAGGAGAGUGUUGGAGUAUGCCAGUGUUCCGAAGACGAGCAACUGAUCUCGUAAUGAGUGCCUCAAAUAUUUUUUUUGGGGUUACGCAAUGUCGUGAGAGGGUGAUACGUCUGUCCAGGUUGCUGAGAAAAUUCAAGUGAAGUCCGGCGUCCUGAGCAGCAGGAGAACGACAGGGUCCGUGAGUCGCUUCACGGUCGAACGUGAAUAUUCCGGUGGUCGUUGACCCCUCUGGGACGGUCUUUGGCGCCAAACUAUACGACUCCACACUCCAUAAUACCUGAGCCUGCAUUAACCGCGCAAUUAAACGUGCCCAGUUAAUUGUGCACUCUUGACACACCCCUCGAUUACUCGACAAUAGUCUCGACAAUUGUUCACAUUACCGGUGUUAUCUCGUGUGAAAUCGAGUAUUCAUGGGAUAGGACUCGUCUUGUCCUGAAGCUGGUCUACCUUUGCCCUUUUGUAUCGGUGAUUUUUUUGGGAACAUCGACAAUCGAUUUAUUGGGAUGAGGAGAGGAAGUGUCAUCGAGUGAUGAAUAAUUCAAUUGUAAUUAACUGUGCAGUUGUGGAGGAGCUCCUCAGUCUAUUGGGGUAUAACAAUGCCGGAAACAUCAAACCGAAGGAACAUCCAAUCGAUUUUAAACGCUAUGUACUUCGACAGCGUGACGUGGCAGCGGACUAUUGGCUGGAACAGCCCGCGGAACUGCUGUGACGUACAAAGCCCGUAAUAUCACUGUCUCUCUCUUUUCAUUUCCGUUUGCAUUGUGCCGGCUUUUUCCUCUUUCGUUCUCCUAUAUUUUCACAUUCUUCCGGGUUCAGUUUUUUCCAUUGUCCAUUAUCAAUGCAAAAAUCAUUUUAUCUAGUUAUUUUUUGGGGAGAACAUAGAGAACAAUUGAUGACAAUUCGUACAGUUUAAAAAGAUAGUCAGUCUUUUGGAUAUAAAAACCAUUAUUUUUAAUGCUAGAAUCCGAUGAAUUUCAACAACUAUUUGAGUAAAUUUAAUGAUGAUAGAAUUCCAAACGUCCUCAAUCGACUGUCUGGACAAUGGAUCAAUAUUUCACGUCGCAUAAAAUUGGAAAAUAUGGUCUAAAGUUUAAUACAAAAUAAAAUAUCGUUGACUUGG